UAUAUUUAUUCGUACGCUAUAAAUUCAUUAUUUUUUUAUUUAUUUUAGAAAAAUCUUCAAAUACCAUCCCUAUAGUUUCACACUUUCUCAUUUUAGUACCAUAUAGUUUAAAGUGUAUCAAUUUCGUGUCCCGUGGUAUCAAUAUAGUACAGAUAUAUUAUAUAUAUAUAGGAAAAACUUCAAAAACCCCCCCUGUGGUUUCGUGCAUUCUCACUUUGCUACCCUGUGGUUUAAAACGUAUCAAUUUAUCCCCCUGUGGUUUCGCUUUUAUCUUUUUGUUAUCAAUUUUAUUUUAUUUUUUUUUAAAAUCAGUGACAAAGUUAAAAUUAAAGGAUACUAAAGUGACUAUUCGAUAAAUAUAGAUGGUUAUCUGAAGUUUUUUGUAUAUAAUUUAACGAAAUAUUAACGAAAAAGCUUCCGAAAAGAUAAAAAUAAAACCACAUGGGGGUAAAUUGAUACGUUUUAAACCACAGGGUAGCAAAGUGAGAAUGCACGAAACCA
rnacentral:lncRNA from 1 species